GAGCAGCCUGGAGGAAGUUACAUACGGUCUUGAUCGAUUGAUCUUCAGGGAUACUCACAUAAUAGGACAAUAUGGGGUGUCAUAUAUGUAUUGUCACACCACUGGGUAUGCCGCAGCCCCCGCUGCCACCGCCUUUCUUCGCGGCGGCCGUCCCCCAGCCCCCGCCGCCACCACCAACCUUCGCGCGGCCGCAACGCGAGAAUGUGAGUAACAGGCGACGGCGGCAGAAGGGCCGCGGCGGAAAAAAUAGUAGUACGACCACCUGCGAAUCAGCGAGGGUCACGAAUAAUCAAAAAUGUCUAUAUUACACGAAAUUUAAAAAAAAAUAAACUAAAAUUAUCAAGUGUAUAUUACCUUAAUUUGUAUUUCCCAUUAUACACCCUAGUUCAGAAGUUCCCCAACUUUUUAGAUCCGCAGCUCCCUUAGUAUACAGAUUACACUGACCAACAAAUUUAAACUUUUUUUA